UAAAAGACGAUGAAGAGAUGAGUAGCUGAGUAAGCGUUGUUCACAGAGAGCUCCUGUCCUGCUGAAAGGGAGCAAUAAUUUGCUUAGUGAAUAAAGACUUGGAGUUUCAUGGCCCUGUGCGGGGUAAUAUGACGGAUUCUUCCGAUAUCAAGAUAGGGUACUUUACCCGAAAAGGCUUAUGCAGCGAUGUAUCAGCAAACUGAGGUGGUACCGCGAAGCUAUCUAUAACUCUCGCCCUCAAG
rnacentral:ncRNA from 1 species